rnacentral:lncRNA from 1 species
AAAAAUUCACUCAGUACCAGCUUGUACAUAAAUCUCACAAAUUUCUCUCUUUUCUUGCCACGUCUCCCUCAUUUCACUAUCCACCAUCUCUCCACUCAGUCUCACUAUCUCUCCAGUCACCUAACGUCUCUCACACUCAGCAGAAAAGACAAAACCUACUCUCACGUCUCUCAUUCAAAAACAACCCUCUCUCACUCACUAUUGACUCUGAGAAAUCUCUCUCACGCUCAGCAACCCCUCAACAAAUCCGCUCUCAUUCUCUCACUCUCAAAUCCACCCCUCGCCUCCGCUCACCUUCACUCUCCUCACACACUCAAAACCCUCCGCCCUCUUCAUCGCUUCCAUCACCUCUUCAUCCAUCUCCACUACCUUCAUACCUCCGCCGUUUCACCCUUCGUUCCAACCGCGAACCACCCUUCACCAUCAGCAUCGUCAAAUCGCCGUCCACGAAACCCUUAACAACCACCGUUAAAACCCUCACACAACAAUCCGCAAACUCGCUCACCCCCAAACCCUCAACCCCAUUCACAGCCGCCACGAUUACAUCGUCAAAAUCGCUGCUAACAAACUCUCGCUUUAAUGGUUGUUUGGACCUUUGAUGGGUUAUGAAUUCAUUUCUGUUUUACAGGUCAAACCAUUGCGGUGAUUUUGGUCUUGCAAGCCUUGAGGACCGGUCGAUGUCCAUUGUGGCCAUAAAGUUGAAAUCAAAACCGAGAGAUAACUCAAAGUUAUGCAGCAAAUUGCAAGAGGAAGUUUUGAAGGAGCGAAGGCGAUAAACUCCACAACAGUAAGAGCUAGCAGCAACGACAAAUGCAUCAGUAGUUGGUAGUCUCAGAAAAGUCGUAUGUCGGUAACGAUCUCGAGUUCUUUUCAAACAUGUCCAUUACGUUAUUUCGGUUUGGCUUCAAUCAUAUAGUUGUUUUGGCUAGGCUGCUAUGAGAUUCAUUGUCAUAUGCUAUAGUUUUGUUAGUAACAGGUUGUUUGAAUAUUGAGGAAAUUCUGUCGUGUACCUGUUGUGGUUUUUAUAUUUUUUCAAUUCAUGAUUCUAGAAUAGCUGCUUGGAUUUACAUAAAGAUGUGCAGUUGGGAAAAUUUAGUUGUUAUAUAAUUUGAUUGAUAGGGGUAACGACUCAAAAUAAGUGUCAUUGCACUU